AGAGUUUGAUCCUGGCUCAKAACGAACGGKGGCGGUGUGCCURUUACAUGSAAGUCGAGCGAGAAAUGGGSAACUAUGGACAGCGGCGAAAGGGUGAGUAAUGUAUAGAUAACCUACCUCUCCGAGGGGGACAACAAUCCGAAAGGGUUGCUAAUACCGCGUAAGUCUAAGAGGGUGCAUAUCCUUUUAGGGAAAGUGUGGGACCGAAAGGCCACAUGCGGGGAGAGGGGUCUAUAUCCUAUCAGCUAGUUGGCAGGAUAAAAGCCUACCAAGGCGGAGACGGGUAGCCGGCCUGAGAGGGCGAACGGCCACAUGGACACUGAGAAACGGGUCCAACUCCUACGGGAGGCAGCAGUAAGGAAUAUUGGGCAAUGGGCGAAAGCCUGACCCAGCGACACCGCGUGGAUGAUGAAGGCCUUCGGGUUGUAAAAUCCUUAUACGCGUAUAGAAGGCUCCAAUGUCGAAUAGGCGAGGGAGCUAGACAAAGGCGCGGGAUGAAGUCAUUGCUAACUCUGUGCCAGCAGCAGCGGUAAUACAGAGAUGGCGACCGUUGUUCGGAAUCACUGGGCUUAAAGGGCAUGUAGGCGGAGCGAAA
rnacentral:rRNA from 1 species